rnacentral:pre_miRNA from 1 species
AUAUGAGUCACACGGGGAUCUUGUUAAAAAUGCAGAUUCUGAUCCAGCAGGUCGGAGUGGGGACUGAUAUUCUGCAUUUGAACAAGCUCCCAGGUGAUACUGAU